rnacentral:pre_miRNA from 1 species
AUUACCUGGUGAGCCUGUAAAAUGGAUAUCUUGAUGCAGUGAGUCUGGGGCUGGUGGAGAUGCUGCAUUUCUAACAAGUUCCCAGGUGAUUUCAGU